rnacentral:rRNA from 1 species
GAUGAACGCUGGCGGCGUGCCUAAUACAUGCCAGUCGAGCGAACGGACGAGAAGCUUGCUUCUCUGAUGUUAGCGGCGGACGGGUGAGUAACACGUGGAUAACCUACCUAUAAGACUGGGAUAACUUCGGGAAACCGGAGCUAAUACCGGAUAAUAUUUUGAACCGCAUGGUUCAAAAGUGAAAGACGGUCUUGCUGUCACUUAUAGAUGGAUCCGCGCUGCAUUAGCUAGUUGGUAAGGUAACGGCUUACCAAGGCAACGAUGCAUAGCCGACCUGAGAGGGUGAUCGGCCACACUGGAACUGAGAAACGGCCCAGACUCCUACGGGAGGCAGCAGUAGGGAAUCUUCCGCAAUGGGCGAAAGCCUGACGGAGCAACGCCGCGUGAGUGAUGAAGGUCUUCGGAUCGUAAAACUCUGUUAUUAGGGAAGAACAUAUGUGUAAGUAACUGUGCACAUCUUGACGGUACCUAAUCAGAAAGCCACGGCUAACUACGUG